rnacentral:rRNA from 1 species
AACGAACGCUGGCGGCAGGCCUAACACAUGCAAGUCGAGCGCGCCCUUCGGGGUGAGCAGCGGACGGGUGAGUAACGCGUGGGAACGUGCCCUUCUCUGCGGAAUAGCCUCGGGAAACUGAGAGUAAUACCGCAUACGCCCUUUGGGGGAAAGAUUUAUCGGAGAAGGAUCGGCCCGCGUUGGAUUAGGUAGUUGGUGGGGUAAUGGCCCACCAAGCCGACGAUCCAUAGCUGGUUUGAGAGGAUGAUCAGCCACACUGGGACUGAGACACGGCCCAGACUCCUACGGGAGGCAGCAGUGGGGAAUCUUAGACAAUGGGGGCAACCCUGAUCUAGCCAUGCCGCGUGAGUGAUGAAGGCCUUAGGGUUGUAAAGCUCUUUCAGCUGGGAAGAUAAUGACGGUACCAGCAGAAGAAGCCCCGGCUAACUCCGUG